CCCAUUACUCUUCAUGAUAAAUUCCUCUCGGCCCCGUGCGGCCCACGACUAAGUGGUUACAAACAAUUGCUAUCAAUCCAUUGCUCCCCCCGCCUAUAAAAAGGGGGCCCCAGAUACGUUAUUCUCUAAGCUCUAAUUUCUAUCCCAAAACUCUGCUAAAAUUUUCGUUCGAGCACUCCAUUCUUGUUGAGACAGAAAACUAACUUGAGCGUCGGAGGGUCUUGCCGGAGUAACCCCAACUCCGGUUUAGACUUCUUUUGCAGGUCCCGAUGACGACCGCGACUCCCUCGACUCCAGCUUCUCCGAUGCAGGCGGAUUUUUGCACCAACAAUGAUGAACUCUAUAAAUUGAAAAAAUAAUUUUAGGAUUAUGAUGAGAUCAUACCUAUAAAAUCUAAAAUCUUAAAAAUUUAGAUUUAGAAUAUUUCUAAUCAUAGGAUCAAUGAAUAGUUGAUCAAUAUUUCGAAUAGACUAGCACUUUCUAUUAUUGCUCGAUGGAGAGGAUGGCUGAUCUUAUAAGCUACUUGUGUGAGACACUAAUAUAAGGAUAUGGGUGCUUAUUAGAGAAUGAGUUCACUAAAUUAAUCUGACUUAAGAAAUAUCUUAUGAAAUCUUCUUACCCAUCAAAAGAUAUUUUCUUAUAGUGGCAGUUGUGUAUAUAAUCCUUUGACCUAAGACUAUCAUAAAAUCUUGUAUACAUGAAUCUAUAUUUUGGUUCAUACUCAUUCAUAACUUAGUUAUAUACGAUAUGAUCUAGAUAUGAUGAAAUAUGUAUAGAGAUUG
rnacentral:lncRNA from 1 species